CAAUGGCAGGUACAGCGGGAAGCCACCUGGCGACAGGGAGCGGAACCGAAAGCCUGUCUCAGUUCGGAUUGGAGUCUGCAACCCGACUCCAUGAAGCUGGAUUCGCUAGUAAUCGCGCAUCAGCCACGGCGCGGUGAAUACGUUCCCGGGCCUUGUACACACCGCCCGUCAAGCCAUGGAAGCCGGGGGUGCCUGAAGUGCGCUGCCGCAAGGAGCGCCCUAGGGUAAAACCGGUGACUGGGGCUAAGUCGUAACAAGGUAGC
rnacentral:rRNA from 1 species